rnacentral:rRNA from 1 species
GACGAACGCUGGCGGCGUGCUUAACACAUGCAAGUCGAACGGAAAGGCCCCCAUCUUGGUGGGGGUGCUCGAGUGGCGAACGGGUGAGUAACACGUGGGUGAUCUGCCCUGUACUUCGGGAUAAGCUUGGGAAACUGGGUCUAAUACCGGAUAGGACCAUGGUUUAGUGUCUCAUGGGGGAAAGAGGAGGUCGGCGUGGCAGGAGGAGCGCGCGGCCGAUCAGCUUGUGGGUGGGGUAAUGGCCGACCAAGGCGUCGACGGGUAGCCGGCCUGAGAGGGUGGACGGCCAACAUGGGACUGAGAACCGGCACAGACUCCUACGGGCGGCGGCCGUGGUUCCUCUUUCCCACUCUUCUCCUUCCUUCUGCCUCGCCGCCGCGUGGGGGCUGUCGGCCUUCGGGUUGGAAACUCCUUUCGUUAGGGCCGACGCCGCGCUUUUUUUGGGUGUGGUGCCUGUCCCUUUGUUCAGCCUCCCCGGCUCCCUCCGUG